rnacentral:rRNA from 1 species
CAGCUUGUACAGGAUAGGUAGGAGCCUUUGAAACGUGAGCGCUAGCUUACGUGGAGGCGCUGGUGGGAUACUACCCUAGCUGUGUUGGCUUUCUAACCCGCACCACUUAUCGUGGUGGGAGACAGUGUCAGGCGGGCAGUUUGACUGGGGCGGUCGCCUCCUAAAAGGUAACGGAGGCGCUCAAAGGUUCCCUCAGAAUGGUUGGAAAUCAUUCAUAGAGUGUAAAGGCAU